GACGAACGCUGGCGGCGUGCUUAACACAUGCAAGUCGAACGGAAAGGCCCUGCUUUUGUGGGGUGCUCGAGUGGCGAACGGGUGAGUAACACGUGAGUAACCUGCCCUUGACUUUGGGAUAACUUCAGGAAACUGGGGCUAAUACCGGAUAGGAGCUCCUGCUGCAUGGUGGGGGUUGGAAAGUUUCGGCGGUUGGGGAUGGACUCGCGGCUUAUCAGCUUGUUGGUGGGGUAGUGGCUUACCAAGGCUUUGACGGGUAGCCGGCCUGAGAGGGUGACCGGCCACAUGGGGACUGAGAUACGGCCCAGACGCCUACGGGAGGCAGCGGUGGGGAAUAUUGCACAAUGGGCGGAAGUCUGAUGCAGCAACGCCGCGUGCGGGAUGACGGCCUUCGGGUUGUAAACCGCUUUCGCCUGUGACGAAGCGUGAGUGACGGUAAUGGGUAAAGAAGCACCGGCUAACUACGUG
rnacentral:rRNA from 1 species